AGCAGCCGCGGUAAUUCCAGCUCCAAUAGCGUAUAUUAAAGUUGUUGCAGUUAAAAAGCUCGUAGUUGAAUUUCGGGGUUAGCAGGUCGGUCGUGCCAUUGGUAUGAACUGGUCUCGCUGAUCCCUCCCUCUUGACGAACUGUGAUGCCAUUAAUUUGGUGUCGCAGGGAAUCAGGACUGUUACUUUGAAAAAUUAGAGUGUUUAAAGCAGGCUCACGCUUGAAUACAUUAGCAUGGAAUAAUGAAAUAGGACGUUUGAUCCUAUUUUGUUGGCUUCUAGGAUUGACGUAAUGAUUAAUAGGGAUAGUUGGGGGCAUUAGUAUUCAAUUGUCAGAGGUGAAAUUCUUGGAUUUAUUGAAGACUAACUACUGCGAAAGCAUUUGCCAAGGAUGUUUUCAUUAAUCAAGAACGAAAGUUAGGGGAUCGAAGACGAUCAGAUACCGUCGUAGUCUUAACCAUAAACUAUGCCGACUAGGGAUCGGAUGAUGUUAAUUUUUAAUGACUCAUUCC
rnacentral:misc_RNA from 1 species